rnacentral:rRNA from 1 species
AACGAACGCUGGCGGCAGGCCUAACACAUGCAAGUCGAGCGAGAACUUCGGUUCUAGCGGCGGACGGGUUAGUAACGCGUGGGAAUAUGCCCUUCACUACGGAAUAGUCCCGGGAAACUGGGUUUAAUACCGUAUACGCCCUUCGGGGGAAAGAUUUAUCGGUGAAGGAUUAGCCCGCGUUGGAUUAGGUAGUUGGUGGGGUAAUGGCCUACCAAGCCGACGAUCCAUAGCUGGUUUGAGAGGAUGAUCAGCAACACUGGGACUGAGACACGGCCCAGACUCCUACGGGAGGCAGCAGUGGGGAAUCUUAGACAAUGGGGGCAACCCUGAUCUAGCCAUGCCGCGUGAGUGAAGAAGGCCUUCGGGUUGUAAAGCUCUUUCAGCCGGGAAGAAAUUGCACAGGCUAAUACUCUGUGUAGAUGACGGUACCGGACCAAGAAGCACCGGCUAACUACGUGCCAGCCGCCGCCGUAAAAC